GUAGAACUAACAGGUUUUAUACUUCAAAAAAUUAUAAAGAAUAACAAAAAUAGCUGUUUUAAGUACCAUAAGGGAUUAUAAAAGGAUGUCUGUUUUUACAAUACUGUUGUCACUGGAUGAUUGAAGUUUAGCAGGACUACUUCAUGUGAGUUUAUUGAUCCUAUGAAACAGAAAGGUUGCAUCUACUCUGGCAAGGAAUUCUACCAUUUGAUCUGGUAAGGCAAACUGUCUGUCUACGCAGAGCAGUAAGGACGCAUUUGGUUUGUGAACAGUGGUACACGGAUUAUAAUGCAGGAUUGUAUUAAGGUGAUCAAUAUAACUGGAUUAUGUACUUUCACAUUAGAUUUUUUUUUCAUGUUGAAACUUGAUGACUGAUGUAUAUCUAAAAAAGGUUUUGGUCUUGAGCUGGAUAAAGAUUUGUUCCAAUAAUAAUUAUCUUGGCACAUGUAAACACUUCAUCCAAUCCAGAAUUGGUUUUAUAUCGUGUUAAAAAAUAAUUAAAGGGCUACAAUAAAAGAAAACAUUUUCUAAAAAAACCAACAAUUUCACAGGAGAAUUGAAUGAAGUAAUACUAAAACAUGAAAUAAAAUGAUAAAUCUUGAAUUCUUCUUCAAUCACAAAAAUUUAAAAAUUCUAAUAUUUUUGAAAAAUUACACUAUCUAACACGUGUAUACAUUAACUACUAAAUAUUGAAAGCCUGUUAAAGACAUGAACUAUGACCUUGGAUUCAUGAAAUCAGUGUGAAUAAAGAAGCACUUUUUCAUGCAAGUUGAUGCUAAACUAUGAUAAAUUAACUUUUAUAUUCCUAUACGUGAAUGACUCUCAAUUUUGUCAAUAAAUGUCAUUUAGCUAUCAAAAAUUAUGAGGGAUGUCCCAAAAUUUAGACAAGGCCAGCCAUCCGAAUAUAGAGGCUAAACUAAAUCUUGACUCUAAAACCCAGUAAAUGACUAACAUUGUUUAGUUCAAAACUUAUGAUUCAGGAGAGGAGUAAGAAUUUUGUGCAAUCCAGCUUAAAAGGUACCUUUGAACUAUUGCAGUGUUUCCAUGACCAGUGCAAAUAAUAAGCAUAGCAUUUAGAGGAAGAUUGGAGUAAAUGCUCCUGACUCUGCGAUUCAUGCAGCCUAAUAUAUCCUUUAGUUCGGGAGUGACAUCAAAUUUGAUGCUUUUUCUGGAAUUAGACUGUUUCUCACAUGUCAUCAAUGCUAUCAUUUCUGCUAAUUUUUUAUUUAGCUCCUCAGAGUCAUCUGCUUGCUUCCUCAAAUAUGCAUAUAGCUCUGCAAAUUGCGUCCAGAUAAACUGUACCUUAUCAUUUCUGACCUAUCAAGACAAGUGAUGCCAGUAUAGUGAGCUUUCAGAUUCUUAAUCAGUCUGCUUUUGAACAAUAUAACAAAUUAGAUUCUUUUGACUCACCUCUUUAAUGGCUUUUGAAAGAGCUUCAUCGUCUGAUGAUACUGGAAUUGUAUGGGACAAUUCAGCAGCAUAUCUCCUUGCUAUGGAUAUAUUAUCAAUGAUUGAGGAUCCUUUGCCAGAGUCACUCAGAACUGAAAGAAGCUUCCGCCGCAAUAAUUGUUGAGACGGAGGUAUGCCAAAAUCAGGCCCUAGUUCAGGAAGUUACAGCCCAAUGAAAUCUAGGAUGCAUUGAUCCAAAAAGCAAAAUGAAAAUAUUUUGUGAUCCAUAAUAAGCAACAUAAAUAGCACAAAAAGAACUCCAUUUCGAGGAGAAAAGAAAAUGAAGGUAAACAGGGAUUGGAGAAAGAAAGCACAAGAAUGGUGUUGCUUGUAUAUCUGGUGUUAAUAUAAUGUACUCAUAAAGUUUUAACUACGGGUUGCCUCCAAUUUACAUAGAAGCUUCGUUUUUUAUAUCAUUGGAUGUGGUGCAAUUAGUCUAAGAGCACUAACUAUUAUGCAAACGACUGAUAUGCUGGGGGGUAGGUAUAAAUGUGUUUAGCAUGCAUCAUUGCAUCUAUGUUAUAGUGAGGCUAAGAGGAGCAUUAAUUUUCUAUAGGCAAUACCAAUUAGUUGAGAUUACACACCCCUCUUACACAUCUUAACUUGAAAUUCCGUAGCUAGUACCCCACCACCACCACAAAUUUUGACACGUAGCUAACGUUUUUUUUUUCAACAUUUCUAACACAUGAAGAGGUUUAACUUAAAAAAGAUUGACAAAAUGGAUGGUCAGAUUUAAUCAAAUGAUCCAACAGUCUAAAUAUUUUUCAUCUUAUUUAUUAUUCAUUUUCUUUGUUUUUAAUCUUCCUUUUUUACAGCCCAACCACCUCCACCACCACCACCCCUUGACAAAACACAUCCUCCCACUCCCCACUUUUCUCUAAAGAACACCCACCAACUGAAAGAUACACAGGAUUCCGCUGUCAUCCCUCUUGUCCUUGAUGCCAUGGACUGUGUUACCACAGAAAUUCUCAAUUUUUAUAUCAGAAUUCCCAAUGGAAUUGCAAGGUUUAUUAAAGAUUAAUUUAGUUGGGAAAGUUAAGCCACUAUGGCUCUUAAGAUCAAUAUCCAAUCUGAAGAGUCGUCUCUAAAUCCGUGUAUUGUAGAGACACGGGUGAGGAAUGGCAGAGGCUUGUCCAAUGGUGGAGCAAAUCCCAGAUGAAGAUAUCACAGAACUGGACAUCAUCAAUGCAGUUUUUGACAAGUCCCAAAAGGGGAAUGAAAUGGCAGCACCAGUAAAUGAGACUAGAGCCAUUGUGAUGCACGAGUCUCGGAGAAAAGAGGGACUCUAAAAGCAAGUUAAGGACGAUAAUUACUGUUUGCUGGAAGACAUCAGAUGAACCUGGUGCAGAAGGAAGAAAAUGGUGCUCUUCUGCUACAGUAAAAAUUACACCGAGAAACAACCCUUUUCCGGCUUCUAUGGCAUCAGCUAGUGAUGGGAGCUGUUGGAGGGGAUCAAAGAGAAGGGUGUCUUGGGGUCUGUAAUAGUGGUCAAAUAAUAGUCCAGCAGUCUGACGGCGACUUGAGGGGUGGUUGGAGAAACGAGUGGUGGUAAUCUUCUUUUUUGUGAUUUCCUUUCUUUUCUUUUGACACAUGUCACUCAAUGAGUGGCGCAUGUGAUACACUUCCCGAUAUAAAGUGGUGUUAUUCCAUCCGGGGGGGGGGGGACUANNNNNNNNNNNNNNNNNNNNNNNNNNNNNNNNNNNNNNNNNNNNNNNNNNNNNNNNNNNNNNNNNNNNNNNNNNNNNNNNNNNNNNNNNNNNNNNNNNNNNNNNNNNNNNNNNNNNNNNNNNNNNNNNNNNNNNNNNNNNNNNNNNNNNNNNNNNNNNNNNNNNNNNNNNNNNNNNNNNNNNNNNNNNNNNNNNNNNNNNNNNNNNNNNNNNNNNNNNNNNNNNNNNNNNNNNNNNNNNNNNNNNNNNNNNNNNNNNNNNNNNNNNNGAGCGGGGGGGGGGGGGGACUACAUAAUUUUAUAUAUUAGGUGUAAAGGGACCUCAUUUGUUAAGGUGAGUAAACAGGAAAUAGGAGCAAGUUGAGGAGGAAAUUAUACAAUAAGCUAUGUUUUAGCCAUGUUAGAAGGUUUUCUUGAGGUCCCCCGUUUUCUAGGAGUCCUAUCAAGAGAUUUAUUAUAUGCUAGAAAGUUAUAUGCCAGUAAAAUGUAGAUAGCCUCUAGAAAUAUUUUUUUUAUUUUUAGUUGUAAAAUAUCGGCCUGAGAUGAGCUUAAAGUGAAUGAAAUGAUUGGUGAGGAUUCAUAUAAUGCACCCCGACAUGCUUAGAAUUGAGGCAUAAUUGUAUCCACUAUUUUGCUACUAGAAUACCCCGAUAUGCUUAUUUUUUGCUCAUCUGGAUGUAAAUAUGGGGGACUACACACCCUUUGUGUAGUUUGUUAUCAAUACACAAAAAUGUUACCUGUUCAAAAAGAAAAAAAAACUUGAGGACGUGGCCUAAAAUAGAGUGACGGAAACACAUGUUGCUGCAUGGAUCAGACAUAAUUAACAAUUGCUAUAAUGUUGUUACGACGAUCACCUAUUAAGCAGACUAACAGCCCGUCUGAAAAUUUCUAGGUUUGGAGAUGUUUCAUUGCUCUCCAGAUUCCUUUCAGAAACUGAAGGAGAUCAUGAUCUAAAAAAGGUCACAGGUGGAAAGGGGAUUUCUUUUUGUUACCUUUACUGCAGAAUGCAGAUGUGGGUCAACAGAUGUGAUGCCCGAGAUGGCACCAGACACCAAGUCUUGGUUUUCCCCUAACAGAAGAAUGGAGGAGACCUUUCAAAAAAAAUUAAAAAAGAAAGGACAAUGGGCUGGAGAAACAGGCUAACCCCCACCAUUGGCCAGAGCAUUUAUAGGCCCAACUUAAUGAGGAGAGACCAAAAGGAACCGAAGGGAGAAAAGGCAAGAGGCAAGAAGGACAUUUUCAUCUCAUGCAACCAUUUUUAGCCUGCACCCUUCCCUUUUUCUUGCCUCCACUAUACCAACCAAAGGGGCCAUAAGAGUUUAGAAUGCACAAUAUUUAGUGGUGCAUUAGCAUGUGUAAAAAGGUUAUGACUUACCAUUUUUUAUUUUUAGUAGUGCUAAUUCCAAAGUAGCUUUUGCAUCUUCAACGCUAUCAUGCCCAUUGUCUGAGUCCUGUAUCUCCCUGCCGAGAAAUUUUCUGCUCAGAAGGCGAAGAGCAGCUUUGUAGGAUCCUCUUGGAUGCUUGUACAACACAGCGGUAUCAAUUACCAAAUUAUGAUUUAUCUUCAGGGCUAACAAAUCAUUUUCCAAGGAAUGCCCAACCAGAAUGGUUUCCUUGUGAACCAGUUUCAAGAACUCCUCCUGAAGAAAGAAAAGAUAGUUAACUAAAACAGAUAGAACAUGUAUAGCAAAUCAGUCUGCUUUGCAGGUGCAAGAAAUCUGCAAGAAACUAUUUAUGCUGAUUGCUUCUUUUCCGAUUACUAAAAUGGGACAAAGAGGUCAGCAAACGAAAGGCUCUAAGGAUAAACCUGGAUAUCUUUUAGAGUGGUAGUCACAUCUUCCAACAUCUGACAGGUAAUUCCACUAUACCUGCAAAGGUUCAGAUUGCUCAACAUCACGUACAGAGUUCUUCUGCAUGUGUUUCUAUCCCACAAAAAGAAAUACUUAACUGACUGAAGGACUAAGAAUUUCAAGAAAGGGAAGGUAAGUCCCUGAGUUUAUUUAGUAUUUUUGUCUUCGUCUUUUAGGACAAAUAUUUUUUUUUUUCUUCAUCAUGAAGUAUUUUGUGCUUCACAAAUAUUUUAGCUUAUAAAGUAAGAAAAAUUUUAUUUCGCCGACAUCAGAAAAAAAUUGGCGCAGUUCAGCAAAUUGAACUCCUGCUGUGUCGGACUCCCUCUGGGCACCCCCUAUCCCCCCCAAAAAGAAACAACCCUCAUCUAUCUCUUCGACUUUGGGUAUGGAUCUUUAAAAAUGAACUUACGAAUAUAAAUCAGAAACUUUUCUUCCUAUGAGAGAUCGGUAGCAACACUAAGACACAACCAGAAAUGAGAAGAAAACAGCUAUCUUGCCCAGUUGCCCCCAAAAAUUCCUUGAGUUGAGUUUUGUAUUCUUGAAAUCUGUUUGCUUCUGAAUCAUCUAUCUUUCCAGUUCUGUUUCCAAAUUGUUCCUCACUAAGCCGAGAAUGGAAUAACACUUGCUCCACCCCAUAACAAUAUAAAAAGGAAAAACACAGAGGAAGAUAAAAGUUAUAGCCCAACACACACUGAUUUUACCACCGACAUAGCCCUUCCCCUGCCAUCUUUUGAGUACCUUGCUUGGAAAGUGUGGUUUGAGGCGACUUGAGUAGAUCUUAAGGGAGGUCAAAAACUUCAAGAAUAUUUACCAUAGGAGGUAAGGUUGGUAGAAAUAUUAAGAGAAAAGGAGAGAGGCAAUAGAAAGAAAAAGAGAGAGAAAUAGAAUGAUUUUAUAAGUAAAUGUAGAAUUGGAAAUAAUAAGAAAUUUGAAAAAUGAUUAAAUGGAAAGAAGUUAAAAUAAAAGAACAAAAGAAAUUGAAAAGGGAAACUGCGGAGAGAGAUUAACCCUGGCUAUGAAGCUCGAUUCUUUAGUUAAUAUCUUUUUCUUGGUUCCCUUUUCUUAUUCUUUUUUCUUUCUGUAUCUUUUUCCCCUCCUUGAUUCCUUCUGUCUUACAAGACGCUUUCCAUUACUUGUGGCAGUGAGAGACUGGAAACUGUGAAAAAACUUAAAAGAUAGUAGAGAAAGAAAUAACAGACAAGGGUGCGGUAUAGUCAUCAAUGAAGAUUGGCUUCAGGCAUACUAAACCACAAAACCCUUUUGAGUUGCAAUAUGCACCUUUUGAGUUGCAAUAUGCAUUCCCGCCUAAACUCAAUUCCUUUGAAAGAGCCGGGAGAGCAUACUAGCAAAAUUUCAAUUUCAGCUCAUAAAAUAGGACAAUUUUAUAUUUAGACCUGACUUAACCUUUAAAAGAUAUUUUUAACUUUUGCAAUGCCUUUAGACUUGGAUAUACCAUUUGAACACCACUGAAAAGCAAAUUCCACAUGGUGGCUGAUUCUCCAAUCUGUUACUCCAUCCAAUCCAAUUUAUGUGACGGAGUUUGACUCAAUACGGAGAUUAAGGAAAAAAGGAAGACUUUUUGAUAAGAUUAUCAUUUAAUGGGCAUCAGGAAGAUGCCAAAUUGCAAAAGGUGUGACCAGUUAGCUCCAGUACAGAGCAAAAAACAUUUCAGCACUAGUACAAGUAGCCUGAGCUAAAUCUAAGGAGCUAACAAAAUCCAAAAACAUGUUGAUGCUAUUAGCAAGUAAAUCUAAUCUUGAAAUGUGCAGUCUUAAACUGCUGAUUCUCCAAUCUGCUACUCCAUCCAUUCCAGUUUGACUAACAUUGUUUGACUUGGUACGGAGCUUAAGGUAAAAAGAAAGACUUCAAACUUGUGGUCUUAAGCAUGAAAUAAAUUUGUGGCUAUAAUACUUUUGAAACUUGUUUAAAAUUAAAUCAUUUCCCAAAUUAGAAAUGCGUCAUUCUUUUUAAAAUGGAAAAAUAAGAAAUUAGUGUCACAUAAAAUGGAACAACAACAACAUACCCUAUGAAAUCCCACAAAGUGGGGUUUGAGGAGGGUAGAGUGUAGAGAGACCUUACCACUACCUCGUGGGGAUAGACACAUAAAAUGGAAGAGAGGAGUAUGUAUUUAGCAUGUGUGAUCAAAUGUAAAUUUAGAAGUUAUCAUACAUAAAAAGUACCUAGUAUUGUAGUCAACAAUUUCAUUUGAUGGUUUGACCAAUUUAUCCAGCAUAACCUGCAAUUGGUUGAUGAUAUUAGCCCCUCAGACACAGAAAAAGAAGUAGCUAAUUAAUAUCGUCUGAAAGACCAUGGGACAAUUGAUCAUGCAUCAAAAUCUCUUGUAACAGGCCAGGUAGGUACAUUUGAGAUCAAGUUAGAGACUUUUGAUGGCCAUACAGGAGGAUAAAAGAAGAAAAAAAGACCAUUGAAUUUGCCCAAACACGUACAAAGGAAUAAUAUCCCUUAACACAUGGUGCAUGGACCAAAGGACAAUAUAUAUGUCCUAACUUGUUACAUAUGUUCAAAAAUAUGCCUGGACAACUACAGGGUUCAACCAUACAAAUCAACAAUCCCAAUAUAUAUGCAGGUUGAUUCAUUCUAAAGUAAUGCAGCAGGCCCAAAUAGUGCAGGAAGGAUAUAGACGAUUCAUCCAACUAGCUAAAGCAUUGAGGUGCAGUUGAUUGUUGCUUGAAUUAUAAUGGCAGUAUAUGUGUAUGUGACAUUCUAUGUUGCUCGGACUCUUCAAAAAUGGGAAUGGGUGUGUGUCGGAUUCUCCAAAAGUAGUGUAAUUUGGAGAAUUUGACACGGGUGCGGCAUCAAAAGCAAAGAGCCCGCGCAACUUAGCUGACUUGAUAGAUUUUUAAUGAAAAAAGAUGAUGAUGGCAGCAUAUAUGCCAGCUGGAUCAUAUUUAAAAUUAACGCUUUUUGACAAGGGUGGUUCAUAUAAACUAAAUAAGGACCACCCCUCCGAGUGGCCAAAAAAACAAUAGGACAUCAAAAAGAUCAGGGUAAAUGGCAUUUUUUACAUAGAAAAGAAACUAGCCAUGGACAAAAUACAUGAUGAGGAAACAGUUUUGAAAAAAAUGGAACUAUAAAGCAAAAGAUAGAUUACCUCAUUGUAAUGCAAGUGAGGGACAAAAAAUAGAGCGAGAAAAGAAAUAAGAGGAAGCAAACCUGUCCUUCAACAUCCACUAGUGUCACUCUGGUAAGCUCAAAGCCUUCCCUUGUAAUACACUACAAAAAUACAUAUUUUUUUACCAAAAUGAUAUGACAUUUGUAUGCAAAGCUUCCAGUUUAAAGAACAAUGACAAACAAGUAAAUGUUACUUUAUAAAUAAAAGGAAAAAAAAAGGCAACUAUGUAAGGGAGACAAAUCAAGAACAGCAAGUAUAAUAUCUUUUUAGAUAAGGUGCAAACAUAAUAUCUGUCUGCCUGUCCAAAGAAUAUACAUUAAAAACUAUUAUUUUGGUAUAAAAUAUAUACGCAGUGGCAACCAGCAGAGGACCCUUUAUACCAUUGAAUAGCAUAUAUAAGACAGACCACAUUUGAGGUUCAAAACAACGACUAUUUGCAGUAGAACAUACUGAUAAUAAAGGAUGUAUAUACUUCUCAUACCAUCUUUAGAACUCUAACUUCUUCUACCAUCAUCAAAACUCUAAGUCCAACUAGUCUGAACACAACUUUUAGUACCAUUACAUCAAAACUGAUAUUUCAUAUACAAUAAACAUCACAAUUAAACCCAUAAACCAACAUCUCCUCCCAUCACCAACCAAGUCAAAGAAAUCUAGAUGCAGUAAAUAGUUAAGCUACCGUAAAUCAUAUCUCAUCCAAAACAUGACUACCCGUCAUUAUUAAAAUGCUCUCAUCCUCUCCAAUAUUUAUAUCUAAGGAGUAAGGAAAUGAAGAUAAAAAACAGCAUUGAUUAUGCAAUAUAAGUACGUUUAAAUACUAAAUCAUAACAUUGUGAUGAACAAAUUGUUGUUAAAUUACCAUCUCGCAGUCAAGGGCCAAAACUUCAUGUGGAGGUGUUCCUGAAGGAGCAGGAAGCGUUGAAAGAAAUUCUACAUGGGUAAUGAAAUACCAAGGUCAACUGGCCAUAAUCUUAACCAAAAAAUUCAAUAAAUUUCAAGUUCUUGGAAUGCAUGUCACCUGGUUGCUCAUAACAGUAUCCAUUUUCUUCUAGUUGCUUGUCCGAAAGUGUAUAAUAACUAAUGGGAAAUGGUAUAUCCUUCUUGAGGUCUGCAAAGGACACAGUCUCCUUAUUAGGAGCCUCAGCACCUGAAUGAAUAAGAGGAUGAUGAAGGCCCCAUUUGGUUGCAUUAAGAUUAAAUUUGAAUGCACAUCUAAAUGAUUAAGAUGUCGUCUCUAGAUGUAAACACCGAAAGAUUAUUUUUUUAAGCUGGUCUUUGAGCAUUGAAUGAUUAAAAUUGUUUGUUUAUCAAUUUCUUAAUGUGCAUAACUUAUUUAUUUUAAAACAUAAUAAAUAUACCAUUCAAAUAAAAAAGUAAUAAAAUAUCAGAAAAAUAUAUAAAUUUAAUAAAAUCAUUAUUUGAUUAAAAACAAACAGUUAUGUUCACUAGUGAUGGGUGGAAAUGGUUUGUAGUGGUUGUGAUGGUGAUGGUGAUGAUGGUGCUAGUGGCAAUUAACAGUGGUGAUGAUGGUGCUAGUGGCAAUUAACGAUGGUGAUGAUAAUCAUGAAGAUAGUUGGUGUUGUAAUGACUGACAUGAUGAUGGCGGUUAGUAGUGGUGGUGAUGGAGGAAAUGGUUGUUAGAAGUUGGCAGUUUUGGUGGUGGUGGCUGAACAAUAUGUGGUGGUUGACGAUGGUGUUGGGGGUAGUUGAUGUCGGUGCUAGUUGUGAUGAUGGAGACGGUUGGUACUUGGUAGUAGGGAUUGAGCGUAGUGGUAGUUAUUGAUAGUGGUGGCAAAGGUGGCGGCGGCAGUGACAAAGGUGGUGAUGGCAGUGGAUAUAAUUAAAAUGAUGGAAGUGGUGUGGUAGUGACCAACAGUAAUUGUUGGAAGCAGUGGGGGUUGUGAUGGUAGAGGUGGUUGGUGGUUGGCGAUGAUGGUUGUGGUUGACAGUGAUGGUGGUGGUUGUGAUAGCACAGAUGGUUGCUGGUUAGUGGUGGAGGUGGUGGGUGGUUACAGAUAGAGUGAUGAUGAAAAUUAUCUAGACAAAAAUAAUUUUAUUGAUAUUAAGACUUUGUUCAAGAUCUUAAUGAUUAAUACCUAUUCCGACCAAAUAAGUACUUAAAUCCAAUGUAAGCAAAUGCACUUGAUGGCCUCAAGUCUAAACCGUUCAGAUUCAGACUGCGAGUGAGUGCAAACAAAUGAGGCCCAAGAAGUGCCUGUCAAAUUGGGUAUUGCAGAAAAACAACAUAAGAGAGUGGUGGAGGGAAGGAAGUUAACUUUUCAAUUUAUUCCUCCAACAAUCUAACUAACCCAAUCAAUCAAGUAAGCAUCAACCCACAUUGCCAGGGUCGUUAAUUUUUUAGAUCAGUUGGUGGAGGUCAGUUUUAUGAUCUUCUUUAUUCAUUUAAAUCAAUCUCAUUCUGUUAUUUAGAUGAAUCUCGAACUUACCAUGCAGAAACAAGUAGUUUAAUUCCAGCUAGUUGGUAUUGUUUUAUGUGGGGAUCAAUUGUUAUCAUGUGUUAUAUUCUUAGCCAAACAUGCAUCAUUCCCAAAGAUUUUAAAUCUUCCAAAAUAACUUCCUUUUGUGUAUUUUUAGGUCUACCUCAUCCUCUUUUAUCACCUUCAACAAUCAUAGUCAUCAAAAACAACCUCUCUAACUCACACAAGGUAGGGAUACGGUCUGCGUACACCCUACCCUCUCAAAACCCCACUUGUGGGAUCACAUUGAAUAUGUUUGCUAUUGUUUUUGUUGUAACAAUCAUAGUCAUACCUAGGUUUUCCGAUGUAUUUCUCUAAUUAUCCUCUAUGUAUGCUACUUAUUGUGUCUGUCAAAUCACAUGUCAUCAUUUCUAAUGCAACUAAGAUGUGAUCAUUUCUAAUCAUAUUCAGUUUCGCAUGUUACAUCCAUCUUUAACAUCCACACUCGUGGAUGUAUAUUGAUCUUAGUGGCUCAACAUUCACUCCCAUAUAAUAUUACUAGUCUCACAACCGCUCUAUGGAACUUGUUUAUCAUCUUCUUAGAUAUCUUCCUGUAGCAUAAUACUCAUGUAACACUCUUUAAUUCCAACCAUCUUACUUUAAUGUUAUGUGUUACAUAAUACUCAUUCUUUUUUUUUUGAGUAAGGUAACAAUUGUAUUAGAAGACAAACUUAACACCAGAAAAGAUGCUAAGUUAAGAACUUUACAAAUCCCAAAAAAGUAUAAACACCCGUCCAUAAGCCUAUAAUCUUAAAUAUUGCCUAAUAGAUCUACCAGGUCCCCUAUAUUCUGUUUACACCAAAAAAAAAAUUAAGACAAUUCAUCCUAAUUUUCUGGAUAAAACUCCUAGUAUCUUCAAAAAAAAAUUGAAUUCCUCUCUUUCCAUAUAGUCCAUCAAAUACAGGCAGGUAUAAUAUGCAACGAGUUCUCAUCACCUCGCAUUUGUCCAAAACUCUUCCAGCUGCUUAGCAUCAUCAAGGUAGCACUUGGCAUUGCCAAUUUAAUACCCAAAAUACAAAAGAACACGUGCCACAGAUUUAUAGUUGUCUUGCAAUGUAAAAAAUGAAUGUUCAUUACUUUCCCCAUCCUGUCCACAUAAAAGGCAAACCGAACAAAUCUGAAAACCUCUUCUUUGUAUUUUUUUCUUGGGUCAAGCAUGCUUGCCUAAUUACCAGCCAGACAAAACAUGACACCUUCGCUGGUAUAUUCACUAUUCGAGUUUACAGAUUUAACUGAGAAUAUCCCUUUGCUAUUCAGCUUCCAUCUAAGUCUGUCUGGACAGUCAGAUAUCCACCAAGAGAUUCCAGUAAAUUAACAAUGUAGAUAAUGCCCCAACUUCCCAAUCAUUAAGAGCUCUUCUGAAAAUCAAAUCCCAUUCUUGUUAACUCCACAUUUGAUUGAUCAUAACCUGCUUUUGAGUACUUAUUGAGUACAAAACAGGAAAGCUGAACUUCAGGCUAUUCUGGCCAAUCAGUGUUCCCAGAAUUCAGUUCUUCUUCCAUCUCUGACCACAAUCUCAACAUUACGCCAAGAGGGAGACAUCUUCUGAGUACCCUCCAGGGUCCUUACCACCUCAGGAGCUUCCCAGGGCCAGAGGACCCCCAGCUCCACCUCCAGUUCCUCCGAGGCUAUGGUGGGAAAUCUUGACAUAGUUUGGAAUCUAUUGGGCGAUUUCAGGCCCAAUUAAAGAGUCAAUGUUCAGUUGGAGACGUGGGAAAAGAAGGAGAAGACAUUGGGCUUCAACUGUCACCUCACUUGCACUGAAGUGGGUUGCAUGGAGAGAGAGAAACAGAAAAGCUUUUGGAGAUGUAGAGAUGAAUAUUGUACAGUUAAGGAGUAGCCUCUUAUCCCUCAUUUCUUUUUAGUGCACCCUCGCGAUUCCUUAUUGUAAAGAAGAUUGAGUGUCUUUCGUAGAAAACAAUCUCAUUUUGUAGGUCUUUUUACUUUUUGGUAUGCCCCUGCCCCCUUGUACACAGGCUUCACCCAUCUGCUUUUGAUGAAAUACAUUUACCUGAUCAGAAAAGGGUAAUUCCUUGAGAAAGUAAAAAAUGCUCUCAGACACGAUUUCCGAGGUUAGCCAACUUUCAACAUAAAGUUGUACUUUAUCACACAUUUGGGGGCUUUUCCGGCAACCUUGGCCGGAAUCUUAUCAAUGGGGGAAAACACCAUCUUUUAUAACGCAGGUUUCAAGUCUUAUGAAAUCACCAGAUGUAAAGAAGGAGCAGAAACAUGGUACGAGUGGACUGAACGUAGCAGGAAUUUAGUGAGAAGAGCGAAGAUUAGCAUUAAAGUCCUGAGAUGGCUGAUUUCAGUAUUUAUUGAGGCGUCGAAGGUCAAAGGGGACUCGGUCAAAAGAUGGAAAGUAAAGGACUUGUACUCGGAUUUCUUUUGCACCCUUAAAUACAACGAAAAGGGCAGAUAUAUCAGUUUUAUUGCUAUUCAAGGACAAAACAAAGCAGUCAUCAUUACACCGGAAUCAUCUUACAACACGGGUUGGGGAAACAUCGCUCAUAAAAUAGCAAAAUUCACCUAUGAGCCUACAACAGAGCAGAAAACACAAUUUAACAAAGGGAAGGCACUGGGAGUAUCCUUUAAGGACGCAGUAAGGAACAAUAGGUGGACGACAGAAUCCACGAAGAAGGCGCACAUACUGGUGGAAGGUGACCAUCUAAAGGUGGUGAACGUAACACCGACAUCGGAGACAGAUCUCCUCAAGAGAUGCAUUGUCGGUAAAUUCCAGACCACAACUCGAGAUAUACCAACCCUCAAUGAUAUAAGAUGGUGGGCUUGCAACACUUGGAAGUCAGCCAUAGGAGUCAGCGUCUUCGCUAUAAACGACGGGCACUUCCUUUUCGAGCUACCCACAAAAGUUGCUGCAGAGCAUGGCAGGAACAUGGGUCUGGAAAAAGAUGCCUCUGAACCUAGAGUGGUGGAGUCCAAUCACAGGUUGCUGGCCGAAAGCUAUAGCAAGAGACUGGUGUGGAUAAGAAUGCUGGGUUUACCCCUAAACCUAUGGUCCCAUAAAGUCUUCAAGCUUAUCGGAGACCAGUGUGGGGGUUUCAUCGAAGCAUAGGAAGAAACGACCCUCAAAAAUCACAUGCACUGGGCACGCAUCAAGGUGAAGGGUGAUGGGAAGAUGGUCCCGAAGGAGAUUGAAAUCACCAGUGAGGGUUUUGUGUAUACAGUGCCGAUCUGGUGUGAAGCACCGGUGACUUUCCGAAAGGAGGCGACGAGGAGAGAGGAACAACAUUAUGGACCGAUGGGCAACAAGGGUUUCUUUCCCCCUUUAAUGUUAAAAUAUGUGGAAGAGUCAGACCACCACGUGGGUACAUCAACAGCUGGCAAAAAUUUGAAUUAGAGAUCACGUGAGGCAAACAGUAAAGGCAAAGGGUCUUUAUCAGCGGUAGCAGGCCAGCUUGAGAGAAAGGAAAAUUUAGACCCAAAUUUUUUAGGCCCAAAAAGGCAACAGCAGAAGAAUAAUGCAGCCCAAAGUCUUGGCAUAGUUAACAUUGAGAUACAAGCAAACCUAUCUCGUAUAACAACAAAUAACAGAUUUGAGGAAUUGGGAAAUCAAGACACGGGAGUUUCAAACAAGUCCAGCGGAGAUCAGGAGGGAAGAAAAGCAACGGAUAAAGAUGCAGCUCAAUAAAAAAGAAGCCUAGAGACAGUGAAAGGCUUUCUGAGCCUUUGCGUGAUGAAAUAGAAGCAAAUUGCAGAAUUCUAAUGGAACAGGGUCGAGAAGGUGUCCUAAUUCCUUUUGAAUUGGGAGACGAGGGAAACAAUCUCGAGUUUGUCGCAGACCUGAGUGAUGAUGACGAUAUGUCCAUUAUCCAAACAGAGGAAAGAAUAGAUCAGGAGAUACAAACAGUGAGCGACAUGAAAUUGGAGCAGAAGGCAUAGCGACAUGCAAUUGGAGCAGAAGGCAGAUGGGGAAGGCACAAUUGAAGAUAUCUUACCACUGAACUCUAAUGAGCAUGGAACUGAUACAUCAGCAGAGAAUGAAAUUUCUUCAUGGGUCCAGGAAAACAUAAUCAGACUCAGUAAAGAAUUUGGGGUACACUUCAUUGGAUGCGAAGAGGUGGCUUUGAACCUCUUUAUGGCAAUCGACAGUAAAAGACAAACUAUUAAAAAGGCGGGGGGAGCAAUAGUUCCUAUUACUCCAGUGGGAAAGGUCCCAAAGGAACUCAAGAAUUUGGAACCAAAGAGUAAUUUUGUGAGUUAUGGUACAAGGAGUAGGGGGGGAUGCUUUAUAGAUGAUCUUAAUGAAGGUUAAGAUAGUCUCAUGGAAUGUAAGGGGCCUCAAUGAUCCAAGUAAGAGGCUGCAAAUCAAAAACUUGAUGAAUACAUGGAGGGCAGAUGUGUAUUGUUUCCAGGAGUCAAAAAUCAGUGGAGAUAUAAGCGGGAUUGUAAAAGAUUUGUGGGCAAAUAGGAAGGUGAAAUAUGCACAACUAGAGGCACGGGGGACAAGAUGUGGUAUCAUUAUCCUCUGGGAUAGUAGUAUCUGGGAGGGGGAAGUAUGUGAAGUAGGGGCUUACAACAUCACUUGUAAGUUCACAGGGAAAGCACAAGAUUUGGGAUGGCAUUUGUCAGGUGUCUAUGCCCCAAAUAGGAGACAAGAAAGAGAAGAAAAAGAAAGAGAAGUAUGGGGAGAGUUGGGGGCAGUGAGGGGUCUAUUUAAUGGACCUUGGGUGGUGGCUGGGGACUUUAAUGUAGUGAGAUUCCCUUCUGAGAAGAAAAACUGCAACAGAUUCAACAAGGAGAUGGAAGAAUUUUCUGAAUUUAUAGAGGACAUGGAACUGCAAGACUUACCUCUUGUAGGUGGCAGAUUCACAUGGAGGAAAGGGGAUGGAUAUGAUAUCGCAGCAAGAUUAGAUAGAUUCCUGAUAUCUGAGGAAUGGGAAGUAGCUUUUAGAAAGAUCAAACAAUCAAUCUUACCUAGAGUAACUUCCGACCACAAUCCAUUGUUGUUGGAAUGUGGUAAUUGGGAGAGAUCAACCUCUAAUUUUAAGUUUGAGAAUUGGUGGCUGCAAACUAAAGACUUUAAAGAAAGAGUUAAAGAAUGGUGGAACUCUGCAAUUUAUGUGGGAAAACCAGAUUAUAUUUUAGGUUGCAAGCUAAAGUUACUGAAAGUCAAGUUGAAAGAAUGGAGUAAAACAGUACAUGGCAACCUAGGUAUGCAAAAACAGAGCAUCCUUAACCAGCUGGCUAAGAUCAGAGAAUCCUAUCAGAUGAUGAGUCCUAUUUACGAGCAGUAUUGACAGUGGAGUUUGAAGAAAAUGCCAAGAGAGAGGAAGUGGAUUGGAGGCAAAGAUCUAGGGCAUUGUGGCUCAAAGAAGGGGACAUGAAUACAAAGUUCUUCCAUAGAACUGCUAACUGUCACAAGAGGUAUAACAACAUUGAUAAACUGAUCAUAAAUGGGUCCAGUGUGACUGAACCAGCUGAGAUCAGAGAUGAAGUUACAACCUUCUACCAAAAACUUUACAAUGAGACAGAAUUCUGGAGACCUCAGUUCAACCCUAGAGGUCAAGCCAGGAUAGAUGAAGAAGAUAAUGCAGCUCUGCAAGCCCAAUUUGAAGAGCAAGAAAUUAAAAACUGUGUGUUCUCAUGCGCAGGGGAUAAGGCACCAAGCCCUGAUGGUUUCACAAUGGCCUUUUUCAAACAGUGCUGGGAAGAGAUAAAACAAGAAGUGGUAGCUGCCAUCCAGAACUUUCAUGACCAGGGCUACUUUGAAAAAAGUUUCAAUGCCACUUUCAUAGCCCUGAUCCCCAAGAAGUUUGGAGCAUCUGAAUUGAAAGAUUUUAGGCCAAUUAGCUUGAUUGGGAGUAUCUACAAAAUCAUAUCAAAGAUUUUAACAGAGAGACUCAAGAAAGUUAUGUCAAAACUAGUGGAUGAACAACAAACGGCAUUCAUAAAGAGCAUGCAAAUUAUGGAUGCAAUAUUGGUGGCUAAUGAAUGUGUGGACAUGAGAUACAGAUCCAAAGCUCCAGGAAUUCUAUGCAAGCUAGACAUAGAAAAAGCUUAUGAUCAUUUGAAUUGGGAACAUAUGUGGAGAACAUUAAGGAGGAUGGGGUUUGGCAACACAUGGAUAAAAUGGAUGAGGUUCUGCAUAACUACAGUGAAGUUUUCAGUUUUGAUAAAUGGCUCUCCAACUGGUUUCUUCUCCUCUGAGAGAGGGUUGAGACAAGGAGACCCCCUGUCUCCUUUUCUUUUCAUUUUGGCCAUGGAAGGUUUAAGUGACAUGCUGAAGAGUGCUCAGGUGAAUAACAGAAUCAGGGGCUUCACUGUGAAUGAAGGAAACUCCCUGGGAGUGUCUAUUUCCCAUUUACAAUAUGCUGAUGACACCUUGGUUUUUUGUGAAGCAGAGAAGGAACAACUAAAACACCUAAGGGAUAUCUUCAUCCUAUUUGAAGCAGUUUCUAGACUUCAUAUAAAUUGGGAAAAGAGUUUUAUCUAUCCUGUGAAUGAAGUUCCAGAAAUCAGUACUUUGGCAAACAUUUUAGGUGGUAAGAUAGGAGAGCUUCCCACCACCUAUCUUGGAAUGCCAUUGGGAGCUAAGAGUAAGUCCAUGAACAUAUGGAACUCUGUGGUGGAAAGGUGUGAAAAGAAGCUAGUUAACUGGAGAAGUCAAUAUUUAUCUUUGGGUGGCAGAGUCACACUGAGCAAUAGUGUUCUUGAUGCCAUGUCAACUUACAUGAUGUCCCUUUUCCCCAUUCAUGGGAAGAUAAUCAAAAAGUUGGAUGCUAUCAGGAGAAACUUUCUUUGGCAAGGUAAUGGUGAAGGGGAGAAGAAGCACCAUUUGGUUAAGUGGGAGGUUGUCAUAACAUCCAAAAAGAGGGAGGUUUAGGAAUUAAGAAUCUGAAAGCACAAACAAGAGCCUUCUGUUAAAAUGGCUAUGGAGACUGGCAGCAGAUGAGCAGGGCCUAUGGAAGAAAAUCAUCAUUGCAAGAUAUGGUAGGGAAGGACCAUGGACUACUCAGGCAGUUAAAACUCCUGCAAGAUGCUGAAUAUCUCCACAGAAACCAAGGAAUGGGCCAUGGAAGAUGAUCUGGAAAGGGAAGAUACCUCAUAAAGUGGCCUGUUUUACUUGGCUAGUUGCAAGUCAAGCAGUUCUGACCCAGGACAACCUUAUGAAAAGGGGCAGGCAGUUAUGCUCUAGAUGUUUUUUUGUGAAGCUGAAAUAGAGACAGUAAAUCAUCUUUUUCUGCAGUGUAAAGUGACUGGAAAAUUAUGGCAAUGGUUCAUCAAUCUGAGGGGUAUUGGAUGGGCCAUGCCAAGGCAUACUUCAGAAGUACUAGCAUGCUGGAAUAGAGAUGGAAAUCAGUCAGAACACAAGGAGAGAUGGAAGAUUGUCCCUUCUUGCAUCUGGUGGACAAUCUGGAAGGAGAGAAACCAGAGAUGUUUUGAGAACAAGAACAUUCCCUUCCAAAGUAUAAAGAUGAACUGUUUAGCAACAUUUUACUUUUGGUGUAUACAUUCUGUACCUAAGGCUAUAAGGGAAAUUAACCUAUUUCUAGACAGUUUAUAAGGAAUAUAGGAGAUAGAUUUUGUUUUGGGCUGUCCUUUCAUACUUUUGAUGUAACUAUGUAGGAGCACACUAUUGGUGUACUCCUUUUGUUUAUAAUACCAGUUAACUUUCUCAAAAAAAAAAAAAAAAAAAGGGUAAUUUUUACCCACUUCUCUAAUUUAACAUUCUAGCAGAAACCAUCCAUGACACUUUCCCGUAAACUUCUAGGGGAAAAAAAGUGUAUCAUACACAGAUCUUAGACAGGUGAAGAAAAAUUUAUAAAGUACAACAGACCAUAGCAAUCCUGCUGAUAUACAGUUGGAGGAGAUGGUGCCUGCAUUACAGACAUGUCAUUUCUAGACCUCUUUCUACAAGCAAAUGAACCUCUAAUUAACCGGAAAUGAAAUCAAAAUAGCAGACUCGCAACAAAGACUUCUGGAAAGUUUUUCUUGGAUUGGAUUCGUACCUUGUUCAGAUGACUGGGUGAUUAUCGGUGAAAUGUUCUCAGCUACUUUCCUUUUCCUCUUUGAUUUGCACGUGAGAAGUGCAUCUAUUGUCUGAUUUCCAUCUGAUACACAACUACCAUGAAACAAAAACUAAUAAGAAGAAGAAAACAUAACUUCCAUUAACACAAGAGUGACAAAAAUAAAUUAAAACAAGUAACGCAAGAGUAAUAUAUUGAUUAUUCAAAUUAUUACCAACCUGAGAGCUAAAACUGGCCUCGGAACACCACAGCAUUCUUUGAAACCUUUGAGCACUUUAGACUGUGAUAGAUAUAGAGAUGCAUCAAGGCCAGGGACAUACAGCAUUACCACUUUAGGGAUCAAAGGCUUAUUCUGCACGCAAAAAGAAAGAGGAACAGACGAAACUGUGUUAGCCUCUAACAAAGAUACUAAUCACUGGAAAAUUGAUGGGGACCAUCCAAAGGCAACCAAACACAUCCACAUUAACUAAAUUCUAUCUCCCUGUGCGUCAAAUCACAAAUGUGAAGUUGUAUCAAUAAUUCAAGAUAUAUUACACCUAGAAUCGCUAAUGACUUAAGACACAAUAGCAAGUAAAACCAUAACCAUUUCCUUAGUAUUAUCGAAAUUUCAUUGGAUAAUGUUUCAAAGAGAGCUCAAGCUCAAGUAAGAAAAUCUUUGCCACAAACUCAUUCUCUCUUCUUUUAUUUUUUUGUGAAGUAAGGAAAUUUCAUUAGUUCAUCAAGAAGAUGCAAGGGAAAAUAUUACAGCAAAAGAAGGGAUCUGCUCCUGUACAAGAACUUACUAAAUAACUUAAGAGCAGAUGUAGUCCAAAAAAAAGUUCAACGGUAUUUACAACAGUAGUCAUUCUCCUAAUGACGCGCACGACUGACAUAUAAGAUAAUGCAGCUACAUGUGUUGCUGGUAGUAUCUACAAGCUCAUCAUACACUAACAUACUAGUAAAAAUAAGAACCAUAUUAAAAAAAAAUUGAGAAGAAAAUAGGGACCACAUUUAUUAUGAUUGAAGUGUAAGAAACUGAGUCUAAGAAUGCACAUUACGAAAUGAAGGGAAGUAUACAGAUGUACCUUAGUGAAUUCAUUUAAGUAAUUGCUACACAUACUGACAAGUGAACACCCAAGACGGGAAAUGGGUCCAAAAUUGUUUUAUUUUUCUUUUUCCCUUUUAGAUAGGCCAAUAAUUUCUAGGGAAAAGGGCCCCCAAGGCCUAGCUCAAGUGGCAAUAGGUAGAGGAUUUGUGGCUUAGGUAGCAGGUUCAAGCCCCACACCACGCAAAGUGAAGCCCGGUAUUUAAGUGGAGAAGGGUAGAGGGGCGGCCCAUUAUCCACCGAGUUUAGAAGACUGUGAUUGGUCCAAAAGGCAAGCAACAGACAAAUUUUUCGGUUAUCAAAAAAAAAAAAAAAAUCUAGGGAAAAGAGUCUGAUAUACCCCUCAAUUUUUGUCAUUUUGAGCUGAUAUAUUCCUCAUUCUGAAAGUAUAUACCCCUAUUGUUACACAAAUUUCUUACAUAUACAUUUUUCUUCUAACAGAAGUGAAAACAAUAAUUUUAAAUUAUUUUUUAUUAAUUUUUUUAUUUAAAAAAAUAGUCCAUGUAGGGAUAUAUUUUAUCCUUCUCACACAUUUUUUUUUACUUUUUCAACGGCUAAUUUGAAUUAAUUAUUUUGAUGGUCAAAUUUAUUCUUUUCACUUAUUUUCUUAUAAACAUAAUUAUAGAUGUCCUAAAAAAAAUUUACAAAUAUAAAAACUAAAUUACAAUAUAGCCGCAAAAAAAUAGUUUUGAUUUUUUUUCUCUUUUUUCAUUCACACUUCUUUCUUUUUAUUUCUCUUACUUUACAUUAAAGAAUGAAAGAAAAAAUGAAAUAAGAAUAAGAAACUCAAAUAAUGAUAAUCAAAGAAGUCAAAAAAUAAUUUAUGUGUGAAAAAGAUCACAUACAUAAUUUUUUGAAAUAUUAAAAAUCAAAAAAAAUAAUUUAAAAUUAAUUUUAUCACUUUUGUAACGGUAAGGGGUAUAUGUGAGCCAAUUUUGUAACAGUAGGGGCAUAUGUGAGCCACUUUUAUAAUUAGGGGCAUAUCAACUCUAAAUGGUAAAGUUGAGGGGUAUAUCAGGACCUUUUCCCUAAUUUCUAUAAUGAAAACACCAAGUCCAUGUCAGAAGAUAUUUGCAAGUUGUCAAUGUGACUUAACUGAGUCGUUCACAUUUGUCCAACUAUCUAAACAACAUGGUAUUCUUUCCUCACACCAAAAGAUCAUAUAAAAAUAUGAUCUUUUGAUGUUUUUUACAUUGUUCUCUCUAUUUCGAGCAAUCUUCGAUUUCUUUAUUCCACGUGUUAAGAAGAGACGAGAAAGGAGACAGGAUUUGAUUCUUUUUGGACAGCUGGGUCAGAAAGUGAAUCUAACGGUACAAAAUUUCACAAUAUCAGAUACUCCAUUUUUUAUUUAUAUAACUAUGUACACACCUAAACUUCAGUUAUGCGUGUCUAAUUCCAUUGUGUACCUUACUAGCAAAAUCUACCUCUAUUUGCAGUUAAAAUAUCCAUUUUCAGUAUAAUCCAAAUCACCUAGCAAAGAAUCAUUGAUGGCUUGGUUAUUUAUAUAUCUGUAUCAAAUAUAUAAAUAAUCUAGUAAGCAAUGAAUCGUUAAAAUGGACCAGAUUGAAUGAUUAAUCUCAAGGUAAGGACAGCUCAACCUCUCCUCACCAGAUUUUCCUCUGCAUAUUCCAAAAAACUGAGGUGUUUUUGCAUCUGAUGCAGAUAUAAAGACAUAAGUGGAAGACAUGCAAAGAAAGGAAUGAAAUACAUUACUUUGAUAAAAGCCCA
rnacentral:lncRNA from 1 species